rnacentral:lncRNA from 1 species
GGACAAACGCACGCAUAUUUACGGGACUGUCACACUACCGGAGGGAGCUACUCGAUUUAAGAUCCGAGGUUUAAUGACCUUGAUCCUAGUCUCAAUCACACCACGUGUAUAUAUGAGAGGGGAUCUAGUAAAAGAUUGGUGUGUGUAACAAUCUGCGAUACAGACUUUUGUAAUGGACCUCAGAUUGAUGGAGGAUCGAUAUUGCAGAUACAAAUAUGGCUGAACGUGUUAUGUGCUGCUGUUGUG